UGAAAUGCGUAGAUAUAUGGAGGAACACCAGUGGCGAAGGCGGCUCUCUGGUCUGUAACUGACGCUGAGGCUCGAAAGCGUGGGGAGCGAACAGGAUUAGAUACCCUGGUAGUCCACGCCGUAAACGAUGAGUGCUAAGUGUUGGAGGGUUUCCGCCCUUCAGUGCUGCAGCAAACGCAUUAAGCACUCCGCCUGGGGAGUACGACCGCAAGGUUGAAACUCAAAGGAAUUGACGGGGGCCCGCACAAGCGGUGGAGCAUGUGGUUUAAUUCGAAGCAACGCGAAGAACCUUACCAGGUCUUGACAUCCUUUGACCACUCUAGAGAUAGAGCUUCCCCUUCGGGGGCGAAGUGACAGGUGGUGCAUGGUUGUCGUCAGCUCGUGUCGUGAGAUGUUGGGUUAAGUCCCGCAACGAGCGCAACCCUUAUUGUUAGUUGCCAUCAUUUAGUUGGGCACUCUAGCGAGACUGCCGGUGACAAACCGGAGGAAGGUGGGGAUGACGUCAAAUCAUCAUGCCCCUUAUGACCUGGGCUACACACGUGCUACAAUGGGAAGUACAACGAGUUGCGAAGUCGCGAGGCUAAGCUAAUCCCUUAAAGCUUCUCUCAGUUCGGAUUGUAGGCUGCAACUCGCCUACAUGAAGCCGGAAUCGCUAGUAAUCGCGGAUCAGCACGCCGCGGUGAAUACGUUCCCGGGCCUUGUACACAC
rnacentral:rRNA from 1 species